rnacentral:pre_miRNA from 1 species
UAGCCUCUGCAAGCUGGCUGGCUCCCAGGCUGGGAUGGGUGAGUAUCUCUUCAAAACGCUCACCCUCAAGCAUGACUGGGGGC